UACGUAGGUGGCAAGCGUUGUCCGGAUUUAUUGGGCGUAAAGCGAACGCAGGCGGGAGAACAAGUCAGCUGUGAAAGCCCUCGGCUUAACCGGGGAAGUGCAGCUGAAACUGUUUUUCUUGAGUGCAGAAGAGGAGAGUGGAACUCCAUGUGUAGCGGUGGAAUGCGUAGAUAUAUGGAAGAACACCAGUGGCGAAGGCGGCUCUCUGGUCUGUAACUGACGCUGAGGUUCGAAAGCAUGGGUAGCGAACAGG
rnacentral:rRNA from 1 species